rnacentral:tRNA from 1 species
GGAGAGGUUCCCGAGUGGCCAAAGGGAGCAGACUGUAAAUCUGCCGGCGCAGCCUUCGAUGGUUCGAAUCCAUCCCUCUCCACCA